AUGACCUUCAUCAUCAUCUUCAUCUGGACUCUCACAGCGUUUGCUCAAGAGUGUAGAGGACAGAUCACCGUCACUCAGAGUCCCUCAAUGACAGCAGCUCAACCAGGACAAACUGUGAACAUCAACUGUAAAACCAGCACAGAUGUGUAUUAUCAAAGUUCUUAUGGACAUUAUUUAGCUUGGUACUUACAGAAACCUGGAGAAGCUCCUAAACUCCUGAUUUAUUUGACCAAAAGCCUCCAGUCAGGAACUCCAUCUAGAUUCAGUGGCAGUGGAUCUAACAGUGAUUUCACUCUGACCAUCAGUGGAGUCCAGACUGAAGAUGCUGGACAUUAUUACUGUCAGAGUUAUCACUGGAUCAACAGUAAAGAUGUGUUCACACAGUGAUAAAGAGUCGUACAAAAACCUCCGUCAGUCAGAGUCACAGUGACUGAACUGAUACUGCAGCUGCUCAAAGGAGGAUCUGAAACAACAUCGUCACACAAACAUCUGAAAUAAAAUCAUCAAAAUUAAUCUUUUUAUAAAUUAUUGAGGUCAGAAAUCAUAGCAUUAGCUGAGAGAAACAACUAGACAAAGUCCAUCAGUGUCACUGUCAAUGUUAAAUUUCCUCAUAUUCAUACCCUCUUUAGACUAAAAAUGUUGUGGAAAAUGUAUAUCUGCCUUGAGAUUUUGUGCUCUUAUAGAUCAGUGACAUGAUUGAGAUCUACAUGUGAGUCGUCCACCAUAUUGGAUCAGUCAGAUCUGGUCCGUGAACACUGGAGAGCAAGUGAACUCCUGACUGCAUCUGCAACCUCUGUAAUAAAGUUUCAUGAGAACUAGUUAAAUAGUAAAAUCACUGUGGGGCAUCGAUUAUAAAACACAAAGUUCCAUUAGUUGCUUUUAUUUGAGAUAUGGAUCAACAUGUGGAUCAAGGUGUGGUUAUUAUACAAAAGAACAACAAUACUGACAUAAAUCACAAGUAUAAAAACAUCAAACACUCAUAAAUAGUUGCAGAAACCUCA